rnacentral:snRNA from 2 species
AUACCUUUCUCUGCCUUUUGGCUAAGAUCAAGUGUAGUAUCUGUUCUUAUCAGUUUAAUAUCUGAUAUGUGGGUCAUCGGCCCACUCGAUAUUAAUCUUAUUUUUUAUGGGGAAAGGUCCAUCACAAUAGCUUGCUAUUGGGGUCUUUGAGUGUCACCUUGGUCUUGCACUAUUGCCAUGGCCUGGCGCACCCCUC